rnacentral:rRNA from 1 species
GUCUACAGCCAUGCCACCCUGAAUGUGCCCGAUCCUGUCUGAUCUUGGAAGCUAAGCACAGUCGGGCCUAGUUAGUACUUGGAUGGGUGGCCACCUAGAAAUACCAGGUGCUGUAGGCU